GACGAACGCUGGCGGCGUGCCUAAUACAUGCAAGUUGAGCGCUGAAGGUUGGUUCUUGUACCAACUGGAUGAGCAGCGCACGGGUGAGUAACGCGUGGGGAAUCUGCCUUUGAGCGGGGGACAACAUUUGGAAACGAAUGCUAAUACCGCAUAAAAACUUUAAACACAAGUUUUAAGUUUGAAAGAUGCAAUUGCAUCACUCAAAGAUGAUCCCGCGUUGUAUUAGCUAGUUGGUGAGGUAAAGGCUCACCAAGGCGAUGAUACAUAGCCGACCUGAGAGGGUGAUCGGCCACAUUGGGACUGAGACACGGCACAAACGCCUAGGGGAGGCAGCAGGAGGGAAUCGUCGGCAAGGGACGAAAGUCUGAGCGAGCAACGCCGCGGGAGGGAAGAAGGGUGUCGGAUCGGAAAACUCGGUUGGUAGAGAAGAACGUUGGUGAGAGUGGAAAGCUCAUCAAGUGACGGUAACUACCCAGAAAGGGACGGCUAACUACGUG
rnacentral:rRNA from 1 species